CAGGAUACCUAAACCUCUUCCUCUCUGUGUUGUCUCAGCCCUGCCUGUCAGCACUGCCAGGUACAGUGAUCACACCUGAAACUGUGUCUGGCUGCUUUCAUUCAUUGAAUGAUUGCUUAUGAAGUAACUGAGCUGAACAAGAAAUUAAAAAUAAAAGGCAGGCUAUCUGGUCUAGUCCACUCCUGUUUGAGCUGCUCAAGUAGCACAGACAAAGCAGGCACUGGAUACAUCACUCUUUACAGGAGAUUCUCUAGGUACGGAAGAGUCUCUAUCAGGCACUGAUCCACGAUAGCCAUCCUCCACCUCCCCUUCACAACUACACCUGGUGCAGAGGAUGUAAAAUGGAAGGGAACAGAGCCUUCUGUGGACGGAGCAUUCUGUGCUCUGGCUAUUCUCAGCUCUUGAGUAGUCCAGUGGGAUUGAUGCUAAAGAAGACCCCAGGCCACUUUUUUUUUUUUUUUUUUUAGGCUUGUAGGUAGGCAAGGAGCAUGAGCUGGGCACAGCAGGAAGGAGACUUUUUAAAUUCCCUUUUACUCAGUCUCUGCAAGCCAGUGUUUUCCCUAUUUUACAAUGAACGGGGUCCAGGUUUGAGGCAGGCUUGGCAUACGGCAAGGCAAUGCUGCUGUUGAACUAUGGGGUGACCACACUUCUGCUCUUCAUUAAGGCUGGGGAAACAGAACAGUAGGAACCAAUUUGGAGAAGAGGAAAAUGAAACUUGGAAAACAUGUUGGAUUUUUAGGGAUCUCUGGGUCAGGGACCUAUUGUGGCUCAAGGGGGUAAAAGUGGGGAGCCAGUAUCCAUGACAUUUUUAGCUGCCAAAAAGCUUAAGGGCCUUGAAAUCCAUGAUCACUUUUAAAAAUUUGGCCACUAGCCUUUUAAUGCCUCAGUUCCUCUUCUGUUGUAUGAGGACAAUAACCCUUAUCUUCCUUCCAGGCAUGCUGCUGGGAGAAAGGAGACCCCAAAGCAUCCAGUGUUUUCAAGGUUCCUCCAGACACCUUUUAGGGUCUGUUUUGGGUUUUCCAUUUGAGUAACACAACACAGAAUCUAUAUAGUGUGACGGGCUGGCUGGCAGUGACCUAGCCCAGUGGUUUUGAAAGGGUAAAAGAUGAUUGGAGGACUUGGGACUCCCUUUCCUCACCAAUCAGGCCCCAGAGACUCACCCCUCAUGUCUCCUGAUUGGCCCCUUGGGUCACCUGGAGGGGGAUAAAAGGGGCAGCAUGGCUGACUCGGAAGAGACCAGUGAGGGACCACAAGGAAGGAGCUUCAAAGAGCUGAGCCAGCGGGGUGGAAGCAGUUGCCCCAGAAGAGCCUGAAGGAGCAGGACCUGUAGGCAGCAGUUGGACCCUCAGCAGCAUGCUGUGUGGCCGGCAGGAGAGGCUCCCCACUGGGCUCCAGGAUCCCCUAUGAGAGGCUGUGACCAGCAGGAGAGGCUUCCUGCUUCAGCAAGGAUCUGAGCAGUGACCUGAGGGGUUCCCAGCUCGGCUUUUAUCUUCUCCAAUCAGAGGCCAGGCAGCUCAACAUGAGGCUGGGGCUCCGGGAAGGUCAAGACCCCUAGCAGCUUGGAGCAGUACAAGCAGUGGUGGCUGUGUGGUAGUGUUCCUGCCUACCACAUGGGAGAGCCAAGUUCAAGUCCCAGCUUUGGUGACUUGAGGGGUAAGUGAGCUAACAAGGAGGAAUUACUCUUGCAGUGGAAAGGGGCCACUGUGUUUUCUCCCCUUCCAGGUACCUAGGCCCUAUAUUUCUAUGUCCUUCGACAUUUUGUAUUUUGUGCCUUUUUAUAUUUCUCCAACCAGUAUUGUUUGCUCUGCUGUUUGUGUUUUAUAUUUUGUUAACCCUACCUUUUGUCAAUGAUUGUAAGUGUCUAACCUUUGUUGAAUCCUGCCCCUUGGUGCAUUGUAGUGUCCACUAUACCCCCUGAUUAUGCCUGUUAUGUUCCCAGCAUUGUUCCCUCAUUAAAAGGUAUACGGUUAAGUCCCCA